UCACCAGCAGGCCUGCUGGACUGCUUUUCACUCUCCUGCCCUAAUAGUAUCCUGAUUUUUCAGACAUCUUCUUAGCAACAAACCAGUCUCUGCUGCUCCAUCCUGCUGGCAUCAGGACUUGCUCUCCAAAGAGACAAAUGCCAUAGCAUGAGCUUCGCCUAGGUAGGCCACAUCCACCCCAAAGGAAAAUGUAGACAUCCCCUCUAGCUAUAUAAGGAUGAAGGUAUGUUUGUAGAGCUGCAUGUAUCCGUGUGCACGCACCAUGAAAAGAAGCUGGCAACGCACUCCCAGGACAGAUGAAAGAGCUCUCCAUGAUUCGGGUCACGGAGCAAUGUCACCACGGACCUCAACCUGUGACCGCUGCCCUCGGCACAAGGCGAGGAAGGGAACCACCAGGAAUGAUUUUCUUUCUCUUAUCACAAAGGCUCAGAACAAAUUCUCAUUGUUACUUGAAGAAAAAGUCUCGACUCUUCUAGUGCCCUGAAAAAGCUGCAACUGUGGGAUAUUAGCUUAUCUCCGGGUGGAGAAAAGCUUGAAAAUUCCAGAACUGGGCUACAAUGAGACUAAGGCCUGGGAUGCCCAGAACUACAAUUCCUCAUGGCCCACUCACCCUGGUAGCCCCAUCCCCUCCCCAGCAGUUGGGCAGUCCCCAGGCAGAUGGGCCCAAGCCUGCACCCUCCAAAAUGGCAGAGGUUGUUGGUGGAUUCUACGUGAAAGGCCCACGCUGUCCCUGAGCACCAGGAGCUGCUGAGGCCUCCUGAGGUGGGGCGGGGAAGGACCCAGCAGGGCUGUGAACUGCUGAGCGGCUGGAAUGGUCCUGGCCAUGCCCCACUCCGGCAGGUGUGCUCCACACAUGCACUCCAGGCCCAUGUUUGGGAGGGAUGCGGCUGCUGGAUUCACCUUGGAAAUCCACUGAGAGUGGCUUUAUUUCUGAAAACAAAAGGGCAGUGUUUGAACUCUGCAGAAGCAGAGAUGAACCAGGUGGAUACCUCUGGCAAUAAAGUAGACUAGCCGUUCUGAUGAGUCGUGAGUAGCGCUGUGACCGACCGACCUUGGCCGUAACCUUUGGAAUCCAGGUUCCCCUCGGGCCCACCACUGACCCUCUUGGCCGCUCCUCCCCUGUAUUCUUCUGUACGAUAACUUAAAGGACCACUCCUACCACCACCACCCACCACAGGUGAUGAUUCUUGAUAUUUCCAAGUCCUGGAGAGCCAGGCAGCACCCAAGCAUGCACUGCUUCUGAGGACACUGCCCCCCCUGUCCCACCACCAAGAGAUUUGGAAGUUUCUCUUUGUCUUCCAGACUAAAUAAUAAAUCCAUUAACAAUUGCCAGGGGGGGGCGGUAUUUUGCAAAGAUCACGCUAAAAUACAAGAAACCAACUGCUUUGACACCUACUUCCUUCCAAACACCAGCGCAGCCCCCUGGGAGCCCUGGAAGCAUUCAGGAGGAGUUGACCAAGUUCCAAAUGACCAGCUCAUGAAUAAAUCUCACUGUCCUAUGCACCCAGCAGAGAAAAGUGGGCCCUUCUUUACAGCCCACAGCAUGAACUUUACUCUUCUAAUUAUUAUUCAUGAAAAUAUCCUAGGAUUCUUUUUCAGUUGUAAAUGUUAUGUAAUAAAUUAUAUUUUUGGAAGAAGCAAAAAGUUGGCAAAAUGAGUACAGGAACACCUCCCAGGGAAAGUCUCUUCUCUGCCGGGGAUUUGACCAGGUGUUAAUAUUUGCUUCCAAAAUCAGAUUAUAUUAAGGUUUAUAUGAGCUUGGCGAUUGCAGAGUUAGGGCCCAUGAGGUAGUUUAUAUUUUGAGGUAACAUUCUGUAAGUAAUAAAAUGUGAAUACUCUUAACUUUCUGUUCUCAGGGUGUUCUGCGGGGGAGGGGGGCCACUGUUGUCCACACUACACUUUGACCCAAUGAACUAACACGUGGUGGGGCCUUGUGUUGAUCUCGUGAUAUGCUGCCCUCUCCCUCUUUCCUCUUCCCCACAAGCUUGGCCUCCAGUAUUCUUUUUUUUUUUUUUAAAGAUUUUAUUUAUUUAUUUGACAGAGAGAUAGCACAAGUAGGCAGAGUGGCAGGCAGAGGGAGAGGGAGAAGCAGACUCCCGCUGAGCAGGGAGCCCGAUGCAGGGCUCGAUCCCAGGACCCUGGGAUCAUGACCCGAGCCGAAGGCAGACGCUCAAAGACUGAGCCACCCAGGCGCCCCUGGCCUCCAGUAUUCUAAGUGGAAAUUAAAUGUUAUUGUUCAAGUUAGAUGUCAUUGACUAUGUUAAAGUAACUAUUAACUGCAAUAACAGAUAAACCCCAGAAUCUCAAUGGCCUAAUGUAAUGGACGUUUUUCUUGCUAACAGGUCAUGCAAAGUUCAGUUGGUGGUAGUGGGGUGAGCAGUGGUUCCAUUCCCUGUAGCCCUUCAGGGACCCAGACUGGUAGGCGGUCUGCCAUUUCAGCAUUUGGCCUCCAAGGUUGCUAUGGGCAUCCACAUGCAGCCGGCAGACAAGGAGAGAGAGUGUGUGCAGAACCACAUGUGGUAGUUUAGGGGCCUCACCUAGAACUGGCAUGAAUUCCUUCCACUCAAAUCCCCUGGCCAUAAGUCAGUCACAUGGUCCCAUCUAGAUGCAGGGGUUUCAGAAAUGAAGUCUGUGGCUGGACAGUCACUUCUCAACAAUUAUAUUUCAUUGCUAUAAAUGGAAUGUCUUUGAUCCCCCCCGAAUUCAUAUGUUGAAACCUAACCCUAUAUGUGGAUUCCCAAUUUGACAGUAUUUGGAGGUGGGGCCUUUGGGAGUGAUGAGAUCGUGAGGGCGGAGCACGGUCCCUUCAUGAAUGGGAUUAUGAAAGAGCCUGCAGAGGGCUCCUUGGCCCCAUCCCCCAUGUGAGGAUACAUCCAAAGGUUCUUAGGAACAAGAAAGUGGGCUCUCAUCAGACACUGAAGCUGCUGGAAACACGAUCUUGGACUUCUCAGCCUCCAGAACUGUGAGGAAUAAAUUUCUGUUGUUUAUAAGCUAUUCUGUCUAUGGCAUUUUUAUUAUAGCAGCCUGAACAGACUAAGACAUUCAUGAAAAAGGAGCACAAAACUUUGAUGGACAGCUAGGAGACCCGAAAAUGUAUCAAUGAUAUUGGGUCUCUCUAGUUAAUUUCACAUCGAGUGAGUAUUACAAACAGACCAUGUGUGGUAAUAUCUAAAUUCAAAGGAUUUUUUUUACUUACUUCAGAAUGACCUAAAGGAGCUUUCUUCUGCCUCUUUCCUUUCCCUUAAGGCCCACCACUCCUGGUACUUGGCUGAAUUUUAGCAGAAAACAACCUUCGUGUUGUUCCACUGCUAUCCAGUUAGGAUGCAUCUAGUACUGGACACUGUGCCUCUACCAGACACACCAGAAAUCUAAUUUAAAACAUCAAAUAGCAAAGUGGCUUAAGGGAUCACUAGAGAAUCCUAGAGGCCAACCUGGUUACAUGGGUACCCGUACCUGGAGAUAACACUGUUUCACUGGUUGAAUCCACCUGAGGGGCGCAGAAAACUAUACUUUCAGGGAAUUGAAGGAGGCUGCUCUGUCCAGAGACCUUGAUUCUUGUCCUGUUUCUCCAUCCACUUUGUGAUGCUAAACAAGUCACGGAGCCUCUCUGGAGCUCAGAGUCCUCAUCUGUAAAAUGAGGGCUUCGGAAUAAGUGAGCUCUAGGGUCACCUGAAAUUCCCCACUAUCUGAGCCUGUGUCAGAUGGCUCAUAAAUACACA
rnacentral:lncRNA from 1 species